rnacentral:lncRNA from 1 species
GAGGUGGUGACGACGGUGGGGAAAGAGAGAGAUCCGGUAGUGGCGGUGAUGGACUUCCCAUCGCUUCAGUGCUAUCCUCUGGAUCGGAUUAGUGUUAGAGAGUGGGGAACCAGUGACGGCGGCGAACCUCGUUUCUUGUGCCAUGAUCCCCACCUCCUCUUUAUAGCACUGCGCGACAGGGGUCCACCAGCCUUACUUGGGCUGGACGCCCCCGAUCAGGGCGUGAGUCAACGUCCAAUAAGCCGUUGGGCCCAUUGGGGAAAGAGAUCAACCUAACACCUAGAACACACAAUUUAUCUUUAGGUGUGUAGCUUGGCCUAAUACUGAAAACAAUUUAACCAAUCAAGCCUUGCUAACCUCGAACUUAGUUGCAUGAAGUUAUGUAUGUGUAGCAGAAAUCCAUAAAUGGAGGCAGUCGACAAACAAAUAAU